rnacentral:rRNA from 1 species
GACGAACGCUGGCGGCGUGCUUAACACAUGCAAGUCGAACGGAAAGGCCCUGCUUUUGUGGGGUGCUCGAGUGGCGAACGGGUGAGUAACACGUGAGUAACCUGCCCUUGACUUUGGGAUAACUUCAGGAAACUGGGGCUAAUACCGGAUAGGAGCUCCUGCUGCAUGGUGGGGGUUGGAAAGUUUCGGCGGUUGGGGAUGGACUCGCGGCUUAUCAGCUUGUUGGUGGGGUAGUGGCUUACCAAGGCUUUGACGGGUAGCCGGCCUGAGAGGGUGACCGGCCACAUUGGGACUGAGAUACGGCCCAGGCUCCUACGGGGGGCAGCAGUGGGGAAUAUUGCACAAUGGGCGGAAGCCUGAUGCAGCAACGCCGCGUGCGGGAUGACGGCCUUCGGGUGGUAAACCGCUUUCGCCUGUGACGAAGCGUGAGUGACGGUAAUGGGUAAAGAAGCACCGGCUAACUACGUG